CCUACGGGAGGCAGCAGUGAGGAAUAUUGGUCAAUGGGCGCUAGCCUGAACCAGCCAAGUAGCGUGAAGGAUGACUGCCCUAUGGGUUGUAAACUUCUUUUAUAUAGGAGUAAAUUGCAGUAUGUAUACUGCUUUGCAUGUACCUUAUGAAUAAGGAUCGGCUAACUCCGUGCCAGCAGCCGCGGUAAUACGGAGGAUUCGAGCGUUAUCCGGAUUUAUUGGGUGUAAAGGGAGCGUAGGCGGUUUGUUAAGUCAGUUGUGAAAGUUUGCGGCUCAACCGUAAAAUUGCAGUUGAUACUGGCAUCCUUGAGUACAGUAGAGGUAGGCGGAAUUCGUGGUGUAGCGGUGAAAGGCUUAGAUAUCACGAAGAACUCCGAUUGCGAAGGCAGCCUGCUGGACUGUAACUGACGCUGAUGCUCGAAAGUGUGGGGAUCAAACAGGAUUAGAUACCCGGGUAGUC
rnacentral:rRNA from 1 species